AUCGAAGCUUUGCUUAGAUAUUUGUUUUGUAGGUAAGCUACUAGGGAAGGUGGCACAGAAAAAAGUGCUGUUUUUUUAUUACAGCAGGUAGAACUGCAUCAAUUUCUUUUAGUUGGAUCAUACUUCAGCAUUGUACCUCCACACUGCCACUGAAAAGGAGAGAAUGUCCUGUCGGUGCCCCUUACCAGGGUUAACUAGGUUUUGCUUAAAUGGGAACAUGAAAAUCACACAGC
rnacentral:misc_RNA from 1 species